rnacentral:rRNA from 1 species
GCCCUUAGAGUUUGAUCCUGGCUCAGAACGAACGCUGGCGGCGUGCUUAACACAUGCAAGUCCAACGUGAAAGGGGAGCAAUCCCCCGGUAGGGUGGCGAACGGGUGAGUAAGACAUGGGAAUCUGCCCUGGAGAUGGGGAUAUCCCUCCGAAAGGGGGGUUAAUACCGAAUACCGUCCGGGAUCCGAAGGGAUUUCGGGGAAAGGGAGGCCUCUGGCAACACGCUUCCGCUCCGGGAGGAGCCCAUGGCCCAUCAGCUAGUUGGCAGGGUAAUGGCCUACCAAGGCGUAGACGGGUAGCUGGUCUGAGAGGACGAUCAGCCACACUGGCACUGAGACACGGGCCAGACUCCUACGGGAGGCAGCAGUGAGGAAUUUUGCGCAAUGGGGGCAACCCUGACGCAGCAACGCCGCGUGUGGGAAGAAGGCUUUCGGGUUGUAAACCACUUUUGUGGAGGACGAAACCCCGGGGACGAACACGCCCUGGGGGUGACGGUACUUCACGAAUAAGCCACGGCUAACUCUGUGCCAGCAGCCGCGGUAAGACAGGGGUGGCAAGCGUUGUUCGGAGUGACUGGGCGUAAAGGGUCUAUAGGUGGUUUGUCAAGUCUUUGGUAAAAAGCCGUGGCUCAACCAUGGUGCGGCCAAGGAGACUGGGAGACUGGAGGCUGGGAGAGGGAAGCGGAAUUUCUGGUGUAGCGGUGAAAUGCGUAGAGAUCAGAAAGAAGGCCGGUGGCGAAGGCGGCUUCCUGGAACAGACCUGACACUGAGAGACGAAAGCGUGGGGAGCAAACAGGAUUAGAUACCCUGGUAGUCCACGCCCUAAACGAUGGGAACUAAGUGUGGGGAGCAAUCCCCGUGCCGCAGCUAACGCAAUAAGUUCCCCGCCUGGGGAGUACGGCCGCAAGGUUGAAACUCAAAUGAAUUGACGGGGAAGGGC